rnacentral:lncRNA from 1 species
UUUUUUAAGAUACGCUCGUGGCGAUAUUUGUUCGACUCCGAUCCUAAUCGACAGUUAUUGCAAAUAUUUUAACUAAAGCCCGCCUGAUGUCCGGCUUCUCCUACCUAUGAUGACAGGUCAAUAAAAUACAACAAAUGUCGCUUAUACGUGUAGCGGUGUUUAACACCAAAACAAAGAACAAACUUUUAGAAAUAAUUUGAAAACACAUAUAUGUAUUAGCGUCCCGAAUCGAAAACGUUCAAAACGUAAGAAAAUUGUUCAGUGGACAAACUUGCAAGACAUUUGAUUUGUUAAAAAACGAAGUCAUUUCGAGUUCACAGCUUAUCAAAAUGUAUGUUAUCGUGUUGUGGGGUGAAAGCACAAUUACGCAAAAGCACUAUUUUGUAUGCUACAAAUUUAAUAU